AUACUUACCUGGAAGGGGAGAUACCAUGAUCAAGAAGGUGGUUCACCCACAGCGAGGC
rnacentral:sRNA from 14 species